rnacentral:tRNA from 1 species
CGGGCCAUAGCGUAAUGGUAGCGCACAAGGCUGGGGGUCUUGUAGCCCGGGUUCGAUUCCCGGUGGCCCGA